rnacentral:lncRNA from 1 species
GGAACCGCAAGGAAGCCGCAGUGGGCUGCCGCAUGAGCGGAGCCAACUAGCGUGGGAAAGGUUGAUUUUUGCUGAGACGUGACCUAUAGAUGGGCUGACCGGCACAGAGGUAGACCCCGAAUUAUGAGUUUAGUUAGAGGUAAGGCGAAUGAAAUUUGUGAAUGGGUGUUGUUUGUGCUGUUAUAUACUGGAGGCUAUAUAAUGGUACUACACGCUCGGUUGUGUGUGGUCGUAUGAAGUUGUCGUAGAUAGAGGCGAAGUAAGGUGGCAGUGUGCCGUGGGUAAGUUAGUGUUGGCGUUUUAUACGCAGAUUAGUGUUAUUAAUUUGUAUUGGUUUUGUUUGGGUAGUUGCCUGUUGUAAAUUUUGAGGUUGAGCGGUAAGUACUGUUGUGAGAAAUUAUUUAUUAUGGUAUAUGUGAAUUGAUUGUAAUUUGGUUACUCUCAAAUGGGUUUUGAGACAGUGCUUGAACCUCGAGUUUUUUUGCAGGUGUAUGGAAGGCUAAUACUGUGGAAUAGAGAAGAGAACGUGGCAUAAGUUUUGAGGUGGAGCCUAUCGCGUGUGUAGACUUGCGGUGAGGACUGGGUGAAUACGGUUGUUGGUGGAAGGAGCUGGUGUUUUUUGAGGAACAGAGCUGGGUUGGUGUCUGGUGGUGGAGGAAUGUGGUCGUCGGUUCCCUAGUGCACCCAAGUGUCUCUAGUUUAUAGUAGAGACGGGCAAGGGGAGACUUGAGUGAGGUGUAUAAACCUGUGAAAGGGCACUACUCUGUCGAGGAACCAUACCCGUAGCUGACCGACGCCCGCCUCACAAGGGGCCACAGCUGAAAGGGGGGUGCCGGCGGUAGAGCGGUACCGCUCUCGCCUCGCAAGCGAGACGUCGCGGGUUCGAUUCCCGGGCCGGCGGAAAGUGGUUUGGACACACUUCCUAGACCCCCUCGGUCCCUGUCGACCUAGCAGUGAAGUAGGUACCUGUCGUAAAUCGAAAGUUGCGAAUUCGUAUUCGGGGACAAGUUGUUGGAGCUAGCCGACAAAAUGUUAAAGACGGUCAAGGGUUGUAUGCCAUUGACCAAAAAUGCUAUGACCCUUUAGGCUCGUGCUCACGAGACAGAAAGGCAAGCACGAACUUGGCAUGCUGCCUAGUUGGGUGGUGUAGGCGCUUCUGCCCUUCACCUUGCAUGGGAAUAAAGGGGGGGAGGGGGGAUGCCCCUCCCCCCCCCCAAAAAAGUGGUAAUAAGAAAUCUAAAAAUGGUGGAGUAGAAUAUAGACUUGUGUUGACGGUAUCGACUAACCAAGAAGAAGUAUGGUAACCAUCCAGAGGUGGGGGAAGCUGAUGUUUGAAACGAGCCGAGUGUUGUAACCAGUCGGCCUGUGCACCAUGUAUUUAAAGGAGUUGUUGCAGUCCAUAAGACGUGAUAAUCCAGAGGGACAUUAACGCUGGACUGAAUGUUGGAAAUGAGAGGCACUGAAGGUGUAAGUAUUGUUUAUUGAAGUUGCACCUAUACUUUGUGUUAAUUUGAAGAGUAAAGUAAUUGUAACAUUGACGUAUUGUUAUUUUUUUUCCAUGCCGGUGGUGGAUGAAUAUGGGCGAAUUGUCGAGAGGAGCGCGUGGACACCGGAUACCGUGACGUAAAAUUUUGCAGUGUAUUAUUUGAAGGUUUUCGGAUGGGGUGGUGUUGGCAAGUGCCGUAAGGAGGUUUUUGACAGGGUGGACUACUACAUGCAUGGGGCUGUGCAUUAGACUGUGUUGAGGAGAAGGAGCAGCAGAAGCAGUAGUAGCAGCAUUUUAAGAUAAGUGUUGUGGUGUGUUGCAUGAUGAAUGGUUUGGAAUAGUUUAGGGAAUUGAGUGUAUUGUAGUUGAAUUGUUGUCAGAUGUGUAGUGAUGUGAAAUGAAUGUAAGUUGUUGAGCAGGAAUUCUAGGUUAGUUUUAGAUUAGUAUAUGUGGAGAAUGGAUGUAGCAGGUAAUAGAAAUGUUAAGAAUAGUGUAGAGGCAUAUAUAUUUUUGAUUUCAUAUAAUGUUUGUUUUUUCUUUGUAGGUUAAAUGGGUGUACUUAUUGGGGAGUGUGGCGUUGGAGCUGUUUUGUGAAAGGACGACGGCGACCUGUAUGGAGGUAGAGUAAUGAAGUGUGGCAGGGUAUUUUUAUGGAGAUUAUAAGGAGGGCGAUUGGAGAUGUUGCAAUAGGAAGGUGAUGUGGCAGGUAAAAAUGAAUGGAGAUUUAGGUUGUGGAGGAAAUAAUGUGUUUUUGUGUUUCAGGCCGGAUUGGAGUAGGAGAAUUUUUUAGUGGGAAUGGUGGGCGGCAGCUGUGACGUGAGCGAAAGGGUAAGAAGUGAGGAGGCGAUUGUUUGUGUUAAAGAGUUUGUGUUUGAAUUUAGGUAAGAUUUUAGGUUUGGAAGUGUAGGGAUGAGUUUAGUGAAGGGGUUCCGACUUGAGUGGGAGUAAUAAAUUAGAGUAGGACGUGGGCCGGCGUUUUGUAGUAGAAUGGGCGGGAAGGUGAAUUUGUUGUGGGGAGAAGGUAUUGGGUGGGGUAGAAUGUUUUUUUUUUUUGUAGGAAGAUGUGGUGGGUAUGUAUUGUAAUUGUAUAGUAGUGUUUGUAGAAUUGAGUUGUAAUAGUUUGUUUGUAGCAGGCUAGUAUUGUUGUUACACACUGGAGGCUGUGUAAUGAUUGGUACUAGCCUGGGUGAAUGGUUUGUAGUAGAGUAUGUAGUUUGAGUUGUGUAUAUUGUUUUUAAGUUGGCAUUUGUAGUGUAGGGUGUGGUUUAAAAGGAAGAAGUUGGGUUUUGGCAGUUGCGGGCUCGGCCGAGUUCGAGUUUUUGUCGUAGGCAAGCGACUAGGAAGGAGAGGGAAGUGCGAAUGCACGAACAUCGUCGGAAUGGCGUUUAAUAUGGAAUUGUUAAUGUUUUCAGAGGAGCACCCGUCCAGUGGGAAUCCCCAAAGGGGGCCGAGGGGAACGGAAUCCCGCCGACGAGUCUCGUGGGCGACAGAGCCGAGAGCGUGCAGUUACCGGCCAGGGAAGGAGGAGCGCCAUCGAUUCGCAGCGGAACGUCGUGGAGUUUUGCCGCGAAGACGACGGCUGCAGUGCCCUGUACGUGUAACGCAUCGGAUAGAAGAGGCCAUUACGAGCGGACCUCUACAGUUGGCGGCAGUCGUCAUGUAAGAGUGUAAUUUGCUAAAUGUUUUCUCCGUUUCAGAUGGAACUGAUGGGGCGAAGUCGCCGUCGAGGAUUACGUGUCUCUGCGACUGGGGCGUACGGAGCCGAGAAGACGACGUCCCUCGAACGCGUAGGGUGCGACCGUUGUGUGUGGAGCCGAUGAGAAGACGUCGUUUGAAGGUAUAGCUGUCAUCUCUGUGAAGCCGAGGAGAAGUCCCGUGAAAGUCUAGCCGUGGUCCCAGUGACUGGGGUGUAUGGAGCCGAGAAGACGUCCUUUGAAUGUAUAGCCGUCGUCUCAGUGACUGGGGGUGUAUGGAGCCGAGAAGACGUCCUUUGAAUGUAUAGCCGUCAUCUCUGUGAAUCCGAGGAGAAGAUGUCCUUUGAGGGUAUAGCCGUCGUCUGUUACUGGGGUGAAGACGUCCCGUGAAAGUCUAGCCGUGGUCCCAGUGACUGGGGUGUAUGGAGCCGAGAAGACGUCCUUUGAAGGUAUAGCUGUCAUUUCUGAAGCUGAGGAGAAGACGUCCCGUGAACGUAUAGCCGUGGUCCCAGUGAUUGGGGUGUAUGGAGCCGAGAAGACGUCUUUUGAACGUAUAGCCGUCAUCUCCGUGAAGAUGACGUCCUUUGAACGUAUAGCUGUCGUCCCCGUGGCUGGAGCCGAGAGGAUGAUGUUUGAAGCAGAAAUUGAUGUACUGUACUGUUAUAUUGCUAAGUGUAUAGAAUAUAUGUAUUUGAGUUGAA